rnacentral:rRNA from 1 species
UACGUAGGGUGCGAGCGUUAAUCGGAAUUACUGGGCGUAAAGCGUGCGCAGGCGGUUUUGUAAGACAGAUGUGAAAUCCCCGGGCUUAACCUGGGAAUGGCAUUUGGGACUGCAAGGCUCGAGUGCGGCAGAGGAGACUGGAAUUCCUGGUGUAGCAGUGAAAUGCGUAGAUAUCAGGAGGAACACCGAUGGCGAAGGCAGGUCUCUGGGCUGACACUGACGCUCAUGCACGAAAGCGUGGGGAGCAAACAGG